CCAGAUGGCUGGGCGGUCGCGCUUGCUUACGCAGGCGAGGAAAGUCCGGGCUCCACGACGACAUGGCGGUGGGUAACGCCCACCGGGAGUGAUCCUAGGGAUAGCGCCACAGAGAGCAGACCUCCGGAGCUUCGGCGCCGGGAAGGGUGAAAGGGUGCGGUAAGAGCGCACCGCGGACCCAGCAAUGGGGACGGCAUGGCAAGCCCCGCCAGGAGCAAGACCGAAUAGGGGUGUCGCGCCGGUUCGCCGGUAGGGCUGUCGUAGGCCCGAGACACCCGGGUAGGU
rnacentral:RNase_P_RNA from 1 species